rnacentral:rRNA from 1 species
UAAUUAAGCGGAGGAAAAGAAACUAACUAGGAUUCCCUCAGUAACGGCGAGUGAAGCGGGACUAGCUCAGGAUGUGAAUCUGCGCUUUUAUGGCGCCGAAUUGUGGUCUAUAGACUUUGACGUUAUCUGCCGGGCCAAGUUCCUUGGAAAAGGACAGCUGAGAGGGUGAGACUCCCGUCCGCCUGGUAGAAUGAGUCUUUGUCAACGAGUCGAGUUGUUUGGGAUUGCAGCUCUAAUUUGGUGGUAAAUUCCAUCUAAAGCUAAAUAUUGGUGGGAGACCGAUAGCGUACAAGUACCGUGAGGGAAAGAUGCAAAGAACUUUGAAAAGAGAGUUAAAGAGUACCUGAAAUUGCUGAAACGGAAGCGAAGGAAACCAGUGUUUGUUGGUUCAUAUUUCCCUGGCCACUUGUGGUUUGGGCGCUGUGAGCUUGCGUGGGUUUGCUUUGGUUGAUCCCUUUGGAAGAGCGCAGUCAGAGUUGAUGUCUGUUGCUAGCACUGGGUUUGACUAAUGCAGACGAAAUGGUUUUCUUUACCCG